UUUUUAUUUCAAUUUUCAUAAGAAAAAAAUAUCGCCAUAAUAAGGGUCGAGUAGUUUUUCAAUCGGUCGACGCGGUGCCAGAUUGGCACAGGUUUGGCUUGUAAUUGGUUGUCAAAUACAAAGAGUAGGUCGACAAAAUCAUUGCAAAAUGGCACGAUAUCGGUACCGUUGUCGACACCAUUUGUUAGGACCAACUUGGCAUAACAAAGUAGACUGGGCAGUUCCAAACAUAAUCGAGCAGUCAUUGGCCCGAUGUCGACCGAAACGAAGUAACAUGCUACAAAAGUGCUGGAAUCUACCUCAGCCUUACCCCCCGCAGGCUGCACUAUCUAUAGUUGAACUAUAAUUGUAUGCAAUUUUUUGGUACUGAGCGAAACGGCAUCACUGUAGAGAUUGCUUUUUCUCUUUCUCUCUAAAUUGUCAUUCAAAAUAUAACAGAGAAUCGAGAACUAAAUUUUUAACAAAUUCAACAACACGGAGACAAAAUACAGGCGAAAUUUGUGGUGAACGCAGCUAGUCUUUGUUGAUAUAUCGCGUCAAAGGAAGGAAAGCAGCAGCAACAGCAGAAAUGUAUAAAUGAAAAUGAAAGAAUAGCGGUGAUCUGAAUGGAAUGAAAACGGAGUUUGCAGCUUCAGUAAAGUAUUGUUUUUGGGAUCAGACCAAAGCGCUCAUCUCACCAUAAUCACCAACAACAACUUCAACACGAACGUAACCAAUUUGAAUACCCAAUAAAAAACUCAUCCAUCUCAACAGUCAUGAUUCCCCACGAAGUUAGGUGUGUCUGCUAGAGGGAACGAAAGGGACAAAAAUAAUUGAGCCGACUGCGAUUCCGAUGAAGAAAUUUGUAGCUGACGGGAGUUUACUGAUGACGGUAUAAUCGCUGCGAAUAGUAUACAUCAACAGUGCACAAUUGUAUGAAUUUAUUAUAAAUAAAUAUUUGUAAAC